GUCCCUGUAGUUCAAUGGAUAGAACAUGGGUUUCCUAAACUUAGGAUGUGGGUUCAACUCCUGCCAGGGGCACCA
rnacentral:tRNA from 1 species